GAUGAACGCUAGCGGCAGGCCUAACACAUGCAAGUCGGGGGAGAGGUUACCUUCGGGUAACCAAAACCGGCGCACGGGUGCGUAACGCGUAUACAAUCUGCCUUUCACAUAGGGAUAGCCCGAAGAAAUUUGGAUUAAUACCUAAUGGUAUAUAAGAGCGGCAUCGUUUUUAUAUUAAAGCUACGGUGGUGAAAGAUGAGUAUGCGUUCUAUUAGCUAGUUGGAGAGGUACGGCUCUCAAGGCGACGAUAGAUAGGGGUUCUGAGAGGGAUGUCCCCCACACUGGUCUGAGAUACGGAUAGACUCCUACGGGAGGCAGAGUGAGGAAUAUGGGACAAUGGUCGGAAGCUGAUCAGCCUGCCGCGUCAGGAGAAGGCCUAUGGUUUAAACUGCUUUGAAGGGAGAAUAGGAGUAGUUACUUGAUGCGGUACUUAGAAUAGCUUGGCUAACUCGGGCCAGAGCGGGUAUACGGAGGAUGGAGCGUUAAUCCGGAAUCAUUGGGUUUUAAAGGGUCCGUAGGCGGGCUGAUAAGUCAGAGGUGAAAACACUUAGCUCCACCUAAACCAACUGCCUUUGAAAACUGUCAGUCUUGAAAUGUUUGUAAAGUGGUUGGAAUGUGUAGUGGAAGCGGUGAAAUGCUUAGACUUUCCACGGGAACGCUGGAAAGCCCAAGCUUUUUUUUUUUUCUUUUUUUUGACGCUGUGGGCGGAAGCGGGGGGAGAAAAAGGAAUAAAAACACCUAGGUGUCCAAGGCGAAUUCCCGUUGAUUUAAGGUUGUCGGGCCGCGCGAGCCCCCCGGCCUGCGCGUUAUAAGUUGUGGUGAUAGCAAAAAAACAUAUAAAAAAAAAAAAAUAAAUU
rnacentral:rRNA from 1 species